rnacentral:misc_RNA from 1 species
GAUGAAGAACGUAGCGAAAUGCGAUAAGUAAUGUGAAUUGCAGAACUCAGUGAAUCAUCGAAUCUUUGAACGCACAUUGCGCCCCCUGGUAUUCCGGGGGGCAUGCCUGUUCGAGCGUCAUUACAACCCUCAAGCUCUGCUUGGUGUUGGGCCCCGCCGCCCCGGCGGGCCCUAAAAUCAGUGGCGGUGCCGUCCGGCUCCGAGCGUAGUAAUUCUUCUCGCUCUGGAGGUCCGGGUGUGUGCUCGCCAGCAACCCCCAAUUUUUUUCAGGUUGACCUCGGAUCAGGUAGGGAUACCAGCUGAACUUAAGCAUAUCAAUAAGCGGAGGA